rnacentral:rRNA from 1 species
ACGAACGCUGGCGGCGUGCCUAAUACAUGCAAGUCGAACGAACUCUGGUAUUGAUUGGUGCUUGCAUCAUGAUUUACAUUUGAGUGAGUGGCGAACUGGUGAGUAACACGUGGGAAACCUGCCCAGAAGCGGGGGAUAACACCUGGAAACAGAUGCUAAUACCGCAUAACAACUUGGACCGCAUGGUCCGAGUUUGAAAGAUGGCUUCGGCUAUCACUUUUGGAUGGUCCCGCGGCGUAUUAGCUAGAUGGUGAGGUAACGGCUCACCAUGGCAAUGAUACGUAGCCGACCUGAGAGGGUAAUCGGCCACAUUGGGACUGAGACACGGCCCAAACUCCUACGGGAGGCAGCAGUAGGGAAUCUUCCACAAUGGACGAAAGUCUGAUGGAGCAACGCCGCGUGAGUGAAGAAGGGUUUCGGCUCGUAAAACUCUGUUGUUAAAGAAGAACAUAUCUGAGAGUAACUGUUCAGGUAUUGACGGUAUUUAACCAGAAAGCCACGGCUAACUACGUGCCAGCAGCCGCGGUAAUACGUAGGUGGCAAGCGUUGUCCGGAUUUAUUGGGCGUAAAGCGAGCGCAGGCGGUUUUUUAAGUCUGAUGUGAAAGCCUUCGGCUCAACCGAAGAAGUGCAUCGGAAACUGGGAAACUUGAGUGCAGAAGAGGACAGUGGAACUCCAUGUGUAGCGGUGAAAUGCGUAGAUAUAUGGAAGAACACCAGUGGCGAAGGCGGCUGUCUGGUCUGUAACUGACGCUGAGGCUCGAAAGUAUGGGUAGCAAACAGGAUUAGAUACCCUGGUAGUCCAUACCGUAAACGAUGAAUGCUAAGUGUUGGAGGGUUUCCGCACUUCAGUGCUGCAGCUAACGCAUUAAGCAGUCCGCCUGCGGGGUCCGGCCGAAAGGCCGAGACUCAAAGGAAUUGACGCGGGCCCGCACAAGCGGUGGAGCAUGUGGUUUAAUUCGAAGCUACGCGAAGAACCUUACCAGGUCUUGACAUACUAUGCAAAUCUAAGAGAUUAGACGUUCCCUUCGGGGACAUGGAUACAGGUGGUGCAUGGUUGUCGUCAGCUCGUGUCGUGAGAUGUUGGGUUAAGUCCCGCAACGAGCGCAACCCUUAUUAUCAGUUGCCAGCAUUAAGUUGGGCACUCUGGUGAGACUGCCGGUGACAAACCGGAGGAAGGUGGGGAUGACGUCAAAUCAUCAUGCCCCUUAUGACCUGGGCUACACACGUGCUACAAUGGAUGGUACAACGAGUUGCGAACUCGCGAGAGUAAGCUAAUCUCUUAAAGCCAUUCUCAGUUCGGAUUGUAGGCUGCAACUCGCCUACAUGAAGUCGGAAUCGCUAGUAAUCGCGGAUCAGCAUGCCGCGGUGAAUACGUUCCCGGGCCUUGUACACACCGCCCGUCACACCAUGAGAGUUUGUAACACCCAAAGUCGGUGGGGUAACCUUUUAGGAACCAGCCGCCUAAGGUGGGACAGAUGAUUAGGGUG